rnacentral:rRNA from 1 species
AGAGUUUGAUCAUGGCUCAGGACGAACGCUGGCGGCGUGCCUAAUACAUGCAAGUCGAGCGGAAACCGGGGAGCUUGCUCCUUCGGUUUUAGCGGCGGACGGGUGAGUAACACGUGGGCAACCUGCCCUGCAGAUCGGGAUAACUCCGGGAAACCGGUGCUAAUACCGCAUUCGCUCCCUGGGUCACCUGGCCUGGGGAGGAAAGCUCCUGCAAGGGAGCGCCUGGAGAGGGGCUCGCGGCGUAUCAGCUAGUUGGUGAGGUAACGGCUCACCAAGGCGACGACGCGUAGGGGGUCUGAGAGGACGGCCCCCCACAUUGGGACUGAGAUACGGCCCAGACUCCUACGGGAGGCAGCAGUGGGGAAUCUUGCGCAAUGGCCGAGAGGCUGACGCAGCGACGCCGCGUGUGGGAGGAAGGCCUUCGGGUCGUAAACCACUGUCAGUGGGGACGAAAUGGCACGGGAGGCAAUGCCCGUGUCUUGACGGUACCCGCAGAGGAAGCACCGGCUAACUCCGUGCCAGCAGCCGCGGUAAUACGGAGGGUGCGAGCGUUGUUCGGAAUUAUUGGGCGUAAAGCGCGCGCAGGUGGCUUUUUAAGUCCAUUGGUGAAAUGCCGGGGCUCAACUCCGAGCAUGCCGAGGAUACUGGGGAGCUCGAGACAGGUAGAGGCCAGCGGAAUUCCGGGUGUAGCGGUGGAAUGCGUAGAGAUCCGGAAGAACACCGGAGGCGAAGGCGGCUGGCUGGACCUGAUCUGACACUGAGGCGCGAAAGCGUGGGGAGCGAACAGGAUUAGAUACCCUAGUAGUCC